rnacentral:misc_RNA from 1 species
GACGAGUCUACAGCAGGAGAAGGUGAAGGGACAGAUUGGGCCAUUUUGAUAAGAAGAAUCGUGAGCAAAAGGAAAAGCACCGGCGACGAUGAAGAAGAAGAGUUUCUCGUCGUCUGCAUAUCGAAUGGAAUGGUCACGUAUUUAUAAAGGUUAAGGUUGUUUUAGGAAAGUGAACAGAGAUAGAGAUUAGAGACUUUUCUUCGCAAGCAUUUGUAGGAACUUAACGACAAAGUAAUUUAUUCUUACGAGGAGACAG